UUUUGUGGGGUGCUCGAGUGGCGAACGGGUGAGUAACACGUGAGUAACCUGCCCUUGACUUUGGGGUAACUUCAGGAAACUGGGGCUAAUACCGGAUAGGAGCUCCUGCUGCAUGGUGGGGGUUGGAAAGUUUCGGCGGUUGGGGAUGGACUCGCGGCUUAUCAGCUUGUUGGUGGGGUAGUGGCUUACCAAGGCUUUGACGGGUAGCCGGCCUGACAGGGUGACCGGCCACAUUGGGACUGAGAUACGGCCCAG
rnacentral:rRNA from 1 species